UGGGGAAUCUUCCGCAAUGGGCGCAAGCCUGACGGAGCAACGCCGCGUGAGUGAAGAAGGUCUUCGGAUCGUAAAGCUCUGUUGAUGGGGACGAACGUGCCUAAUGCGAAUAGUUUUAGGCAAUGACGGUACCCAUCGAGGAAGCCACGGCUAACUACGUGCCAGCAGCCGCGGUAAUACGUAGGUGGCGAGCGUUGUCCGGAAUCAUUGGGCGUAAAGGGAGCGCAGGCGGGCAUGUAAGUCUUUCUUAAAAGUGCGGGGCUCAACCCCGUGAUGGGAAAGAAACUAUGUGUCUUGAGUACAGGAGAGGAAAGCGGAAUUCCCAGUGUAGCGGUGAAAUGCGUAGAUAUUGGGAGGAACACCAGUGGCGAAGGCGGCUUUCUGGACUGCAACUGACGCUGAGGCUCGAAAGCCAGGGGAGCGAACG
rnacentral:rRNA from 1 species